UUUAGGCAGAGUUCUUAGGAUGUAUUUUUGUUCACCUGAAAAAUAAAACUUUUAAAAAAUAUACAGGACUUUUUGAGUACAGGUAUAUCUUAAAUGGCUGAAUUAUAAAUAAUGUCUCUGGUCAUGUUCACAGCUAGGGCUGGAGCAAAUGUCCCAAUUCCAGUGAAGGCUUUGGAGAGUCAGGAGGCCAGCAGCUGGAACUAUGAGUGGCCUCUCUAGACUCUCUGAUCCAUCCCAAAGAGGAUUUAAACAGUCCAGAAAGCAGGGAUCAGGAAGAGGACAGGGAAGUGGACUCCCAGAUGUUCUAUAAGUUCAAAGGAUUCUUGGAAUAAGAGAUCAAUUUACAAAUUAUUAAAAUAUAGGACUAAAAAUUCACACAGUAAAUAUAAAUUACAGGCUAUUAUUGAAGUUAUAAAGUGGCAUUUUAUGUUUCUUCCCUGUCUCACACCAAAAAUGUAAAGGCCUCACAGGCUUCCCAAUGACUGAAGUCCGAGUCAGCUGCUAAGAAAUCUGCUAUAGCCAAGAGACCCUGGAGGUGCUACCAGCCUGCUGGUAGGCUGUGACAGCUCAGUUGCUAUUAUCGUGCCCACAACAGGACAUGGCUUAAAGCAAGGCUGCUGUCCUGUAAACUUGGCUCAGAGCUAACCAGAGUAUAGGCCAGAAAACUGGAGAGACAAACUGUUUCAGGACUCAGGUGGGUACGUUGUCUUUUUUUUAAAAAAAUAGUGCCUCAUUUCCCAAAAAGGAAACACUAAGGGGUUUGAUAUCUCAUCACUACCCACACUCAAUUGCCUAAAAGCAAGUGGCAGAAGGAAAUGGAAUCCAAAUUGACGAAGUCUAGUUCUUGCUACCCCAGAGCUACACACAUGUCCACAUAUUUCUCUUGAUGUUUCUCAUCUCCUUUAUACAAUUACAGGCUGCAUUUAUGUAGGGCUUCUCAGGAAAGGUAAAGACAGCCAAUUUAACCUUCCCUUGGCUAGUCUAUUAGCUGGCUCUCAAAGCACAAUCCUGAGUUUCAGUGAAGCCCACCUUCCAGCCUUUCUGAUUCUGUAUCACUCUACUUACAAAAGCUUGCUCUUCCUAAAAGAAUUCUGUGAGGGGAAGGCCAGGAUUGAAGCACAGCAGCAUUGCUCUUUCCCUUCCUUCCUCCCUGGCCCAUAUUCAGAUACUGAGGGCUGCAACAAGCCUCUUUGGUGGGGGCACUAGGAUGGAAAGAGGGGAUGAGUACAUUCCCCACCCCCCUAAAUUGCUUCUACUUCUCCUAAGGCUUUCCACAGCCACAUCAACAGUCUAAGAAUGCUUAUACUCUUUUGUGAAAGAACGUCAUAAACUUAUAUUUCAGAAAUAGGAGGGGAACAGGAGAAAGUGAGUGAUUUAAGAAGCCGUGUUUGUGCCCUUCCGGCCAGGUGUACUUCGGGGGACAGCAAAUAGCCCUUGCUUGACCCCUUCAGUCAGUAGCUACCCAGGGUGUGGGAGGAUAUACAUAGAAUUCUAUGUGAUUAUAGCUUCUAGUGCAUAUGUCAACAACUAUAUACAGGGAUCUAGAAAUUUAAUGCAUCUCUGGCCACUGCAACUAGGUUGACGUACCUGAGCUCCACUACUUUUGGUGCCCUCCUCCUUUCGAGAGCUUCAGCUUACUUAAAAAGAGCCCCUACAGCUCCAUCCUUCCCCUGAGUCUUAGGGGAAAGCCCCAGUCAUCCC
rnacentral:lncRNA from 1 species